rfam:Gossypium raimondii Chr10_contig_323, whole genome shotgun sequence.
CACGUCAGCGCGCUUUGCUGACGUGGCAGCAAAUCGUGUCCUAGAGGGUGCGAUUUGUUGCCAUGUUAGCCAAGCGCACUGACGUGG